AAAAGGCAAGAUUUAUUUCCUACAAAAUAAAGAAACUGACACAUAUGUCAGACACACGUGGCAUUUCUGAUGUGGAAAGAAGGAAAGACAUCAAUAAGACCAAUUAAUUUACUUUCUUUAGCUUUGUGGCAAGUCACCUAACUCGUCAAUCUGUGUGCAGGCAAAUAUGUAUUACAUUGUUCUGUGCUAGGAUGGUAUUAAACAUUGCCACUUUUUAAUUUACUCUUUAUUAUACUGACAGGUAAACAAAGCAACACGAAGGCUAAAUAAAAGUCAUUUCCCCAAGCAAAAUAAGGGUAGGGACCUUCAGAUGGACAGAUUAGCCUGGAUUAAGCAGGAUGGAGAAGCCGAGGAUCAAGGAUCGGGCCAGGAGCCAAGGAAUACUGCCACCUCUAGAAGUUGGGAACGGCCCUCAGCUUACAGCCACUAAGAAAAGGGGGAUUUUGGCCCUCUAGCUGCAAGGAAUCUAAUUCCACUUGAAUUAACAAGGAACAUCCAGGCAGGAAUGUAGCCCUGACAACACCCUAAUUUAGGCCAGUCAGGCCCGGACAGACUUCUGACCCACGGAAUUCUAAAAUAAUUUGUGUUUCUUAAACCAUCAAAUUUGUUGUAAUUUGUUAUGGUAGCAACAGGAAUCAAAUAUACCUCUCUACUUUUACAAGAUAUUGUUGUCUGCAGCCUGUUUGAAGUCGGUGACUAAACACAGCUGGUUACUAUGGCAGGCCCAUUCUGAAGAGUUGCAGGACACCCUCGGGAGUACUUUGGUUUGAAGCCUCCUCAUCACCUCGGCUGCCGUUUCUGGGAUCUGGGUUGCAGUCUGAGGCUCAUUUUUCCAAUUCCCAAUACUUCCUACUGAUGAUAUUCUUGAGAGUCAGGCUUUAUCAAGAGAGAAAAAGGACUUUAAAAUUUUCAAACUCCUUUUUAAAUAUCAGAGAUUUUUUUGGCCUACUUUGAUUACAGGUCCUUACUUAUAAGUCUCUCCUUCCUAGGGAGAAAAUAGAAAGCUUUAAGAGACAGA
rnacentral:lncRNA from 10 species